rnacentral:lncRNA from 1 species
UGUAGUUUAAAAAAAAUAGAGAUUAUAAAUUUCACUUACUAAAUGUUAGUAAAUUGGUGGGUGAAGCAGACACGCAGCUAAAAUGAAAUUGUAAGAAAAUAAAAAACAAGCACAAUAGAGGACACCAUAAAUUAUGUGGUUCGGCUUUUAGCCUACGUCCACAUGCGAAAAUAAAAGGAAAUAUUUUACUAGUGAAAAUGAGUUACAAGUACUGUAGUAUUAUAGCUCAUUUCCCAAAAUUUCAAUACACUCAAACUCUCAGAACACUAAUCACUCAAGAGUUUAUUAAACUCUUAAUACUCUCAACUCUAAAAGAAGACAAUGC